UACGGGGGGGGCAAGCGUUGUUCGGAAUUACUGGGCGUAAAGGGCGCGUAGGUGGCCAACUAAAUCAGACGUGAAAUCCCUCGGCUUAACCGGGGAACUGCGUCUGAUACUGGAUGGCUUGAGUUUGGGAGAGGGACGCGGAAUUCCAGGUGUAGCGGUGAAAUGCGUAGAUAUCUGGAGGAACACCGGUGGCGAAGGCGGCGUCCUGGACCAAUACUGACACUGAAACGCGAAAGCCAGGGGAGCAAACGGG
rnacentral:rRNA from 1 species